rnacentral:rRNA from 1 species
UACGAGGGGGGCAAGCGUUGUUCGGAAUUAUUGGGCGUAAAGGGUGCGUAGGCGGGUUCAUAAGUCAGGGGUGAAAUCCCGAGGCUCAACCUCGGAACUGCCUUUGAUACUGUGGAUCUUGAGUCCGGAAGAGGUGAGUGGAACUGCGAGUGUAGAGGUGAAAUUCGUAGAUAUUCGCAAGAACACCGGUGGCGAAGGCGGCUCACUGGUCCGGAACUGACGCUGAGGCACGACAGCGUGGGGAGCAAACAGG